UAGGAGUUAGUUGAAGAUGUAAGAAAGCUUGAAGAUGAGAAUGAGGACCUGGACAACAAGUAUUACGCUGAAGAUUAUGCCAGCCAUAUCAAGAUCUGUGGUUUGAGGGCGACCCAUAAAGCUGAAUUAACAAAUCUCAAAGAACAAGUGACGCUUCUGUACCAAGAGGCUGUAAGAUCAGAGGACAGUUCUUUGUCAAUGGAAGCUUCAUACCUGUCUAAAAUCGAGCAGAUCCAAGAGGAGCUGGACAAUGUACAGCUUGUUUCUGCUCAGAAGCUUCUGCUGGAGCACAAAGAUGCGG